ACGCACGCUCGUUUGUACACGAGCAUAGAGCCCUCAGCUCCUCGGCGGCCCUCCCCUCGUCUCCGUCCGGGUCGCCACUCCCCGCCCUCGGAGCUCCCGGGCGGCGGCAGCCAUGUACCGGGUCGCCGGCAGCCACCUCCGCGCUCUCAAGCAACAUGGUUCUAGUAGGUUUGCUAGUACAAGUGUUGUGAAGCAGUCUUCUGGUGGUUUAUUUGGUUGGCUUCUUGGUAGCAAGCCAACCCAGUUUCCAGCUCUUGAUGUCCCUCUCCCAGGCGUCACCAUUCCUCCACCACUACCAGACUUUGUAGAGCCAGCCAAGGCAAAAGUUACCACUCUCCCGAAUGGCAUCAAAAUUGCUUCAGAAACAUCAACGAGUCCAGCAGCAACAGUGGGAUUGUAUAUUGAUUGUGGUUCUAUGUAUGAAACACCUGGUUCAUCUGGAGCAUCGCAUCUACUGGAGAGAAUGUCAUUCAAGAGCACCACAAACAGGAGUCAUUUGCGGCUAGUACGCGAGGUAGAGUCCAUUGGAGGGAAUGUUUCUGCAAUAGCUACUCGUGAACAAAUGUGCUAUACCUAUGAUGCAUUCAGGGCCUAUGUACCUGAUAUGGUCGAAGUACUUAUUGAUAGUGUGAGAAACCCAGCAUUUCUUGAUUGGGAGGUUAGAGAGCAGCUGGAGGAGAUGAAAGCUGAAAUAGCUGAAUUUUCUGCUAAUCCUCAAGGUUUACUUUUAGAGGCUCUCCAUUCUGCUGGCUAUACUGGGGCACUGGCAAAGCCCUUGGUGGCACCAGAGCCUGCCAUACAUAAAUUGGACAGUGGUGUUCUUAAGGAAUUCGUUGCUGAAAACUACACAGCACCCAGGAUGGUCCUAGCGGCAUCAGGAGUUGAGCAUGAUGUGCUAGUUUCAAUUGCUGAGCCACUUCUCUCUGAUCUUCCUGCUGUGAAGCGUCCAGAAGAGCCAAAAUCAGUUUAUGUGGGAGGAGACUAUCGUUGUCAAGCAGACUGUCAAAACACACAUUUUGCUCUUGCUUUUGAAGUGCCAGGUGGAUGGUAUGAAGAGAAAACAGCUAUUACUGUAACUGUCCUUCAGAAGCUCAUGGGGGGAGGUGAUUGGUUCUGUACUGGCGGUGUUGGGAAGGGCUUGUAUUCUCGAUUAUCUCUCCGGAUAUUAAGCCACUACCAUCAGAUCGAAUCAUUCUCCGCUUUCAAUCAUAUCCACAACUAUUCUGGUCUUUUUGGAAUUCUUGCAACAACCAGUCCAGAUUUUGCCUCGAAGGCUGUGGAUUUGGCAGCAGGGGAACUUCUUGAAGUUGCCACUCCUGGAAAUGUUACACAAGGACAGCUUGAUCGAGCUAAACGGGCAGCAAAGUGUAAAGUUUUGAUGGACUUGGAAUCAAGAGCUGUAGCAUGUGAAGACAUUGGGAGGCAGGUUAUGACUUAUGGUGAAAGGGAACCCAUCGAGAAAUUCUUGAAAGAUGUCGAAGCAAUUACUCUGAAUGACAUUUCUUCAACUGCCAAGAACAUUAUUUCUACACCCCUUACAAUGGCAUCAUGGGGUGAUGUUACUAAUAUCCCAACCUACGAGUCUGUUAGCAGGAAGUUUCAUUCAAAGUGAGGGAAAGCCCGUUGCAAGACAUGUUCCGGCUGCACAAGAUGUGCAGAGAUGUGUAACUCUUGUGGCAAUGGCCCUAACCACUGGAACCCACUGAACACAUCGUUUUACUCACUGAACACAUCGGGAUGCCCGUAGAGAGACAACAGAUCGGUAUUUGCGUUAAAGAGAAUUAUCUGAUGUUUGACAAACAUUAUUUUGCGGUUCAACAAGCAUUUCUUUUGGAGCGACUAGGAGGAAUGGAGGAUGCUCACUACCAUGGGCCCAAGCCUGCUCGCUCCUCCAAUUUUCUUGUACAUUUUUUUUCUUCGACAUAUGUGUGCUACAUUGAAGCGAGCAUUUGCCUUAUGCAACAAAUUUUUCUACAUUAGCUCUUCAUCCUUGUGUUUUUUCAUAGGAUACAAGAGUAUCUUUGCAAUCCUACUAUUAUGAUUGGCUUCGUUUCUCA